AGGCACGUAGCUCAGUGGGAGAGCGCUUCCUUGACGCGGAAGAGGCCGGCGGUUCAAUCCCGCCCGUGCCUA
rfam:Deltaproteobacteria bacterium RIFCSPLOWO2_12_FTLL_57_22 rifcsplowo2_12_scaffold_1663, whole genome shotgun sequence.